CAGACAUACAUGCACAGACAGUCAUACAAAGACAUACAGUCUGUAUGUGUCUCUAUGACUAUCUGUGUAUGCAUGUCUCUGCAGGGCUUGUGCAAGGAUUUUUGCCGCCCUAGGCAAAAGAAAAAAGUGUGUAUGUGUGCAAAGGAUGCAUUGUUUUUAUGUGUAAGGGUUGCAUUGCGUGUGUGUGUGUGUGUGUAAUGGAUGCAUUGUGUGUUUCUCUGAGUGUAAGGGAAGCAUGUUGUGUUUCUGUGUGUGUAGGGAUGCAUUGUAUGUG